rnacentral:tRNA from 2 species
GGUCCCAUCGUCUAGUGGCCUAGGACACCGGCCUCUCACGUCGGUAACACGGGUUCGACUCCCGUUGGGACCG